ACUCCAGACUCCUACGGGAGGCAGCAGUGGGGAAUAUUGCACAAUGGGGGAAACCCUGAUGCAGCGACGCCGCGUGAAGGAUGAAGUAUUUCGGUAUGUAAACUUCUAUCAGCAGGGAAGAAAAUGACGGUACCUGAGUAAGAAGCCCCGGCUAACUACGUGCCAGCAGUCGCGGUAAUACGUAGGGGGCAAGCGUUAUCCGGAUUUACUGGGUGUAAAGGGAGCGUAGACGGCAGUGCAAGUCUGGAGUGAAAGGCGGGGGCUCAACCCCCGGACUGCUCUGGAAACUGUACGGCUGGAGUGCAGGAGAGGUAAGUGGAAUUCCUAGUGUAGCGGUGAAAUGCGUAGAUAUUAGGAGGAACACCAGUGGCGAAGGCGGCUUACUGGACUGUAACUGACGUUGAGGCUCGAAAGCGUGGGGAGCAAACAGGAUUAGAUACCCGCGUAA
rnacentral:rRNA from 1 species